rnacentral:tRNA from 1 species
GCCAACGUAGCACAACGGUAGUGCAGUUCACUUGUAAUGAACAGGUUGGAGGUUCGAAUCCUCUCGAGGUCACAA